rnacentral:rRNA from 1 species
AGAGUUUGAUCAUGGCUCAGAUUGAACGCUGGCGGCAGGCCUAACACAUGCAAGUCGAACGGUAGCACAGAGAGCUUGCUCUUGGGUGACGAGUGGCGGACGGGUGAGUAAUGUCUGGGAAACUGCCCGAUGGAGGGGGAUAACUACUGGAAACGGUAGCUAAUACCGCAUAACGUCGCAAGACCAAAGUGGGGGACCUUCGGGCCUCACACCAUCGGAUGUGCCCAGAUGGGAUUAGCUAGUAGGUGGGGUAAUGGCUCACCUAGGCGACGAUCCCUAGCUGGUCUGAGAGGAUGACCAGCCACACUGGAACUGAGACACGGUCCAGACUCCUACGGGAGGCAGCAGUGGGGAAUAUUGCACAAUGGGCGCAAGCCUGAUGCAGCCAUGCCGCGUGUAUGAAGAAGGCCUUCGGGUUGUAAAGUACUUUCAGCGAGGAGGAAGGCAUUGUGGUUAAUAACCGCAGUGAUUGACGUUACUCGCAGAAGAAGCACCGGCUAACUCCGUGCCAGCAGCCGCGGUAAUACGGAGGGUGCAAGCGUUAAUCGGAAUUACUGGGCGUAAAGCGCACGCAGGCGGUCUGUCAAGUCGGAUGUGAAAUCCCCGGGCUCAACCUGGGAACUGCAUUCGAAACUGGCAGGCUAGAGUCUUGUAGAGGGGGGUAGAAUUCCAGGUGUAGCGGUGAAAUGCGUAGAGAUCUGGAGGAAUACCGGUGGCGAAGGCGGCCCCCUGGACAAAGACUGACGCUCAGGUGCGAAAGCGUGGGGAGCAAACAGGAUUAGAUACCCUGGUAGUCCACGCCGUAAACGAUGUCGACUUGGAGGUUGUUCCCUUGAGGAGUGGCUUCCGGAGCUAACGCGUUAAGUCGACCGCCUGGGGAGUACGGCCGCAAGGUUAAAACUCAAAUGAAUUGACGGGGGCCCGCACAAGCGGUGGAGCAUGUGGUUUAAUUCGAUGCAACGCGAAGAACCUUACCUACUCUUGACAUCCACGGAAUUUAGCAGAGAUGCUUUAGUGCCUUCGGGAACCGUGAGACAGGUGCUGCAUGGCUGUCGUCAGCUCGUGUUGUGAAAUGUUGGGUUAAGUCCCGCAACGAGCGCAACCCUUAUCCUUUGUUGCCAGCGGUUCGGCCGGGAACUCAAAGGAGACUGCCAGUGAUAAACUGGAGGAAGGUGGGGAUGACGUCAAGUCAUCAUGGCCCUACGAGUAGGGCUACACACGUGCUACAAUGGCAUAUACAAAGAGAAGCGACCUCGCGAGAGCAAGCGGACCUCAUAAAGUAUGUCGUAGUCCGGAUCGGAGUCUGCAACUCGACUCCGUGAAGUCGGAAUCGCUAGUAAUCGUAGAUCAGAAUGCUACGGUGAAUACGUUCCCGGGCCUUGUACACACCGCCCGUCACACCAUGGGAGUGGGUUGCAAAAGAAGUAGGUAGCUUAACCUUCGGGAGGGCGCUUACCACUUUGUGAUUCAUGACUGGGGUGAAGUCGUAACAAGGUAACC